CGGAACGUGCCCGAUCGUGGGGGAUAACGCAGCGAAAGCUGUGCUAAUACCGCAUACGAUCUACGGAUGAAAGCGGGGGAUCGCAAGACCUCGCGCGGACGGAGCGGCCGAUGGCAGAUUAGGUAGUUGGUGAGGUAAAGGCUCACCAAGCCGUCGAUCUGUAGCUGGUCUGAGAGGACGACCAGCCACACUGGGACUGAGACACGGCCCAGACUCCUACGGGAGGCAGCAGUGGGGAAUUUUGGACAAUGGGCGCAAGCCUGAUCCAGCCAUGCCGCGUGCAGGAUGAAGGCCUUCGGGUUGUAAACUGCUUUUGUACGGAACGAAACGGUCUUUUCUAAUAAAGAAGGCUAAUGACGGUACCGUAAGAAUAAGCACCGGCUAACUACGUGCCAGCAGCCGCGGUAAUACGUAGGGUGCAAGCGUUAAUCGGAAUUACUGGGCGUAAAGCGUGCGCAGGCGGUGAUGUAAGACAGAUGUGAAAUCCCCGGGCUCAACCUGGGAACUGCAUUUGUGACUGCAUCGCUGGAGUGCGGCAGAGGGGGAUGGAAUUCCGCGU
rnacentral:rRNA from 1 species